GACGAACGCUGGCGGCGUGCUUAACACAUGCAAGUCGAACGGAAAGGCCCUGCUUUUGUGGGGUGCUCGAGUGGCGAACGGGUGAGUAACACGUGAGUAACCUGCCCUUGCCUUUGGGAUAACUUCAGGAAACUGGGGCUAAUACCGGAUAAGAGCUCCUGCUGCAUGGUGGGGGUUGGAAAGUUUCGGCGGUUGGGGAUGGACUGGCGGCUUAUCAGCUUGUUGGUGUGGUAGUGGCUUACCAAGGCCUUGACGGGUAGCCGGCCUGAUCGGGUGACCGGCCACAUUGGGACUGAGAUACGGCACAGCCUCCUACGGGAGGCAGCAGUGCGGUAUAUUGUACAAUGGGCGGAACCCUGAUGCAGCAACGCCGCGUGCGGGAUGACGGCCUUCGGGUUGUAUUCCGCUUUCGCCUGUGACGAAGCGUGAGUGACGGUAAUGGGUAAAGAAGCACCGGCUAACUACGUG
rnacentral:rRNA from 1 species